rnacentral:rRNA from 1 species
UACGAAGGGGGCUAGCGUUGUUCGGAUUUACUGGGCGUAAAGGGCGCGUAGGCGGCCACCGCAAGUCGGUUGUGAGAUCUCUGGGCUUAACCCAGAAAGGUCAACCGAUACUGCGGGGCUAGAGUGCAGAAGGGGCAACUGGAAUUCUCGGUGUAGCGGUGAAAUGCGUAGAUAUCGAGAGGAACACCUGCGGCGAAGGCGGGUUGCUGGGCUGACACUGACGCUGAAGCGCGAAAGCUAGGGGAGCGAACGGG